UGUGAAGGGGAAAUAACUGUUGAUGAAUGUACUGAUGCAAUUUUUAAAAUGAAACUAAAUAAAGCUCCUGGGCUUGAUGGAUUAAAUGUUGAAUUUUACAGAAAAUUUUGGGAAGAAUUAAAAACUUUUAUAGUCGCUACUUUUAAUUAUUGUUAUGAAAAAGGAAAGCUAUCAAACACUCAGAAAGUAGGUUUAAUAUCCUUAAUUUAUAAAAAAAAUGACCCUCUUUCACUAGAUAAUUAUAGACCUAUAACUCUUUUAAAUUAUGAUGCAAAAUUACUCGCUUAUGCAUUAGCACAAAGAUUAAAACCCCUGCUACCCAAAAAUUAUACACACUGACCAGAAAGGAUA
rnacentral:lncRNA from 1 species